CGGAGGAAGGUGGGGAUGACGUCAAGUCCUCAUGCCCCUUAUGUCUUGGGCUGCAAACAUGCUACAAUGGCCAGUACAAAGGGUUGCGAGACCGCAAGGUGGAGCGAAUCCCAAAAAGCCGGUCUCAGUUCGGAUUGAGGUCUGCAACUCGACCUCAUGAAGUCGGA
rnacentral:rRNA from 1 species